rnacentral:rRNA from 1 species
AGGACGAACGCUGGCGGCGUGCUUCACACAUGCAAGUCGAACGGGGCUCAUCCGGUGGUAACACCGGAGAAGGCCUAGUGGCGAACGGGUGAGUAACACGUGAGGAACCUGCCCCGAAGACCGGGAUAACAGCGGGAAACCGCUGCUAAUACCGGAUGCCCCCACCGGGCCGCAUGACCUGGUGAGGAAAUGGGCUUCCGCUUCGGGAGGGUCUCGCGGCCUAUCAGCUUGUUGGUGGGGUAACGGCCCACCAAGGCUACGACGGGUAGCUGGUCUGAGAGGACGACCAGCCACACUGGGACUGAGACACGGCCCAGACUCCUACGGGAGGCAGCAGUGGGGGAAUCUUGCGCAAUGGGCGAAAGCCUGACGCAGCAACGCCGCGUGAGGGAUGAAUGCCUUCGGGUUGUAAACCUCUUUCAAGCAGGGACGAUAGUGACGGUACCUGCAGAAGAAGCUCCGGCCAACUACGCGCCAGCAGCCGC